GGGACAAGGGGAGGGGGAGACACUAUGGGACAAGGGGAGGGGAGGAGACACUAUGGGACAAAGGGAGGGGGACACUAUGGGAGAAAGGGAGGGGAGACACUAUGGGACAAGGGGAGGGGGAGACACUAUGGGACAAGGGGAGGGGGGACACUAUGGGACAAGGGGAGGGGGAGACACUAUGGGACAAGGGCAGGGGGGGACACUAUGGGAGGGAAAGUGCACUAUGGGACAAUGGGCGGGGGGGACACUAUGGGAUCAGAACACUAAUGGACAAGGGGAGGAGGGGUUAAA